GACGAACGCUGGCGGCGCGCCUAACACAUGCAAGUCGAACGGAGCUGAGAGAAGCUUGCUUUUCUUAGCUUAGUGGCGAACGGGUGAGUAACGCGUGAGUAACCUGCCUUUGAGUGUGGGACAACAGCUGGAAACGACUGCUAAUACCGCAUAAGCUCACGAUCCGGCAUCGGAUUGAGGGAAAAGGAUUUAUUCGCUUCAGUAUGGACUCGCGUCCACUUAGAUAGUUGGUGGGGUAACGGCCCACCAAGGCGGACAUUGGUAGCCGGACUGGGAGGUCGGACGGCAACACUGGGACAGGGACACGGACCAGACCCUUAGGGGAGGGAGCAGUGGGGGAUAAUGAACAACGGGGGAAAGAUUGAUGCCGCGACGCCGCGUGGAGGAAGAAGGUUUUAGGAUUGUAAGCGCAUGUAGCUAGGGACGUCAAGGACGGUCCCAAACAAGAAAGCACGGGCUAACUACGU
rnacentral:rRNA from 1 species